UAGCUGGCUAUGGCUAUCCAGCACUGGAAUUCUUCCAAGUCAAGCAAAAUAAAUGACGAGACCAUCAUACUGCCCAUCUCUGCAUGAUUGAAGAAAGCAAUGGAGCUCCGCCGGGUCUUUUUUUAAAAUGGCGGAUGAGGAAGCGAAAGCUACUGCAUCAUAGUGAAAGGGGGAGAUAUGUCGUGUAGGGAACCGGCUUUUUUCACCCGAUUUGUCCAACUUAUCACCUCUAAAAUUCCCUGAAGUGUCAUUCAAGUACAUGGAGGAUGCAGAGACCGCAGGGGAGCCCAAUCACACAGCUGUGACCAGGACACUAGCUCCUCUUGCUCCACAGGGAUUGGCUACCAACAGUUACCAUGGGAAACAAAGUCUAGGUUUCUAAGCAACCUGGGAGUGGAGCUAGAAUUACAGAGGUGUUACAUUUUCUGUACCAGACGAAUUAUGAGAGAUUAAGACAAUGGGGG